rnacentral:rRNA from 1 species
UACGUAGGGUGCAAGCGUUGUCCGGAAUUAUUGGGCGUAAAGAGCUCGUAGGCGGUCUGUCGCGUCGGCUGUGAAAACUCGGGGCUCAACCCCGAGCCUGCAGUCGAUACGGGCAGACUAGAGUGCUGUAGGGAGACUGGAAUUCCUGGUGUAGCGUGAAAUGCGCAGAUAUCAGGAGGAACACCAAUGCGAAGGCAGCUCGCUGGGACGUAACUGACGCUGAGACGCGAAAGCUGGG